GACGAACCGUGCGAACGUUGUUCGGAUUCACUGGGCUUAAAGGGCGCGUAGGCGGUCGACCAAGUCUGGGGUGAAAUCUUUCGGCUUAACCGGAAAAGUGCCCCCGAUACUGGACCGGCUAGAGGGAGAUAGGGGCAUGUGGAACUUCCGGUGGAGCGGUGAAAUGCGUAGAUAUCGGAAGGAACGCCGGUGGCGAAAGCGACGUGCUGGAUCUCUUCUGACGCUGAGGCGCGAAAGCCAGGGGAGACAAACGGG
rnacentral:rRNA from 1 species